GACGAACGCUGGCGGCGUGCUUAACACAUGCAAGUCGAACGAUGAACGCUGGAGCUUGCUCCGGCUGGAUUAGUGGCGAACGGGUGAGUAACACGUGAGCAAUCUGCCCUUGACUCUGGGAUAACUCCGAGAAAUCGGUGCUAAUACCGGAUAUGACCCUUGGCGGCAUCGCUGGGGGUGGAAAGUUUUUCGGUCAAGGAUGAGCUCGCGGCCUAUCAGCUUGUUGGUGAGGUAAUGGCUAACCAAGGCGACGACGGGUAGCCGGCCUGAGAGAGUGACCGGCCACACUGGGACUGAGACACGGCCCAGAAUCCUACGGGAGGCAGCAGUGGGGAAUAUUGCACAAUGGGCGCAAGCCUGAUGCAGCAACGCCGCGUGGGGGAUGACGGCCUUCGGGUUGUAAACCUCUUUUAGCAGGGAAGAAGCGAAAGUGACGGUACCUGCAGAAAAAGCACCGGCUAACUACGUGCCAGCCGCCGCCGUAA
rnacentral:rRNA from 1 species